rnacentral:rRNA from 1 species
UACGGAGGAUGCGAGCGUUAUCCGGAAUUAUUGGGUUUAAAGGGUACGUAGGUGGCAGAUUAAGUCAGUGGUGAAAUCUUAUCGCUCAACGGUAAAUAGUCCAUUGAUACUGGUUUGCUUGAGAGGAAUAGAGGAAUGCGGAAUGUGUAGUGUAGCGGUGAAAUGCAUAGAUAUUACACAGAACCCCGAUUGCGAAGGCAGCGUUCCAUAUUUUAUCUGACACUGAUGUACGAAAGCGUGGGUAUCGAACAGG